UGGGGAAUAUUGGGCAAUGGGCGAAAGCCUGACCCAGCAACGCCGCGUGAAGGAAGAAGGCCUUCGGGUUGUAAACUUCUUUUAAGAGGGACGAAGGACGUGACGGUACCUCUUGAAUAAGCCACGGCUAACUACGUGCCAGCAGCCGCGGUAAUACGUAGGUGGCGAGCGUUAUCCGGAUUUACUGGGUGUAAAGGGCGCGUAGGCGGGAAUGCAAGUCAGAUGUGAAAUCUAGGGGCUUAACCCCUAAACUGCAUUUGAAACUGUAUUUCUUGAGUGUCGGAGAGGUUGACGGAAUUCCUAGUGUAGCGGUGAAAUGCGUAGAUAUUAGGAGGAACACCAGUGGCGAAGGCGGUCAACUGGACGAUAACUGACGCUGAGGCGCGAAAGCGUGGGGAGCAAACAGGAUUAGAUACCCUGGUAGU
rnacentral:rRNA from 1 species